rnacentral:rRNA from 1 species
GAUGAACGCUGGCGGCGUGCCUAAUACAUGCCAGUCGAGCGAACAGACGAGGAGCUUGCUCCUCUGACGUUAGCGGCGGACGGGUGAGUAACACGUGGAUAACCUACCUAUAAGACUGGGAUAACUUCGGGAAACCGGAGCUAACACCGGAUAAUAUAUUGAACCGCAUGGUUCAAUAGUGAAAGACGGUUUUGCUGUCACUUAUAGAUGGAUCCGCGCCGCAUUAGCUAGUUGGUAAGGUAACGGCUUACCAAGGCAACGAUGCGUAGCCGACCUGAGAGGGUGAUCGGCCACACUGAAACUGAGACGCGGUCGAGACCCCUACGGGAGGCAGCAGUAGGAAAUCUCCCGAAAGGGGCGAAAGCCUGACGGAGCAGCGCCGCGUGAGUGAUGAAGGUCUGCGGAGCGAAAAACUCUUUUAAGGGGGAAAAAAAAAUGUGUAAGAAAGGAGGCACGUUGUGGCGACACCGAGACAGAAACCCGCGGAACAACAUG